UACGUAGGGUGCGAGCGUUUAAUCGGAAUUACUGGGCGUAAAGCGUGCGCAGGCGGUUUGUUAAGACAGAUGUGAAAUCCCCGGGCUUAACCUGGGAACUGCAUUUGUGACUGGCAAGCUAGAGUAUGGCAGAGGGGGGUAGAAUUCCACGUGUAGCAGUGAAAUGCGUAGAGAUGUGGAGGAAUACCGAUGGCGAAGGCAGCCCCCUGGGCCCAAUUGACUGAC
rnacentral:rRNA from 1 species